CAGCUUUCAUCAUUCCCUACAAGUUUAAUCCAGUGAUUUAUGCUUUUUAAGCUCAUAUUCGGGGGGAUUCUGUUGAGAAAGUCACCCAGACAGACAGAAGACCUCGUGGGAUUAAUAGGAUGUGUGCCAGGUUCAAAGCCGGUGAGGUUAGUCCUUCCUGAGUAAGAAAAAAACAACCUUAACAUGGUCGCCCCUCUUCCAGGGUCUAAUCACGUUAAUGACUUUGGCUAAAGAGAACCAGCUGAGGUCAAAGAGUUCAGAGGAGGACCCAGACGUUAGACAAGGACUGUGUGGGAGAGAAGCCAUUGCCAGUUGGAAGCUUUUCCUAUUCAAAGUGCGAAAGACACCGUUUUCUUGGAGGAAAUCUGCCUUCUGUGUGAUGCAAGGUAUGUUGUGAAGUUGUCUCCAGUGCUGUUGGCAAGGUCCUUGGGUCAUCAAAGAGCUUGUAUGAGAAGAGGAACAGGGGUGAGAGGUAGUCAGAGGGUGAAAGUGCUUCCCAAGGAAACCUGAAGACAUGAGUUCACUUCCUGGAACUCUCAUUCAAAUCUGAUCUAAAGACCCUGUGUUGGCAUUUUGUCUAGGCUCUGCCCCACAGUUACCCAGCAACAUUCAGGGGUGUCUGAGUCAAUAUAAAAGGGGCUGUUUGGCCCCUCUGCUCUCUCUUGUCUUCUUGCUCCCCCUCUGUCCUCUCACCCCUUUCCCCUCUUUUUCUCUCCC
rnacentral:lncRNA from 1 species